UCUAACGUGGCAGAUAAGUGCAUUGGAUUUAAGCUCCAUGAAUAAAGUUUACGCUUUCAUUAGAA
rnacentral:tRNA from 1 species